rnacentral:rRNA from 1 species
AGUGCUAAGAGAAUGAUUUAACAAUUAAAGGCUUUCUUUAAUUUAAUAAUUGAAUUUAAUUUUUUAGUGCAAAAGCAAAAAUUAUAAUUAGGGACAAGAAGACCCUAUGAAUUUUUAUUUUUUAAUAAUAAGAUUAUUAUUAAAAAAUUUAAUUGGGGUGAUGGAAAAAGAAUAAAUAUCUUUUUGGUAUAUAAAAAUUUAGUUCCGUUUUUAACGAUUUUAUGAAAAAAAUACUCUAGGGAUAACAGCGUAAUAAUUUUGGAUAGUUCAUAUAGAUAAAAUAGUUUGCGACCUCGAUGUUGGAUUAGGAUUCUUUUUCGGUGAAGAAGUUGAGAAGAAGAAGUUUGUU